AUAUGGCUCAGAGGUAAAGCGUCUGCCUACAAUGCAGGAGACCUGGGUUCAAUCCCGGCAU
rfam:TPA: Bos taurus chromosome 20, whole genome shotgun sequence.